UGCCUAAUACAUGCAAGUCGAACGAGUUCUGAUUAUUGAAAGGUGCUUGCAUCUUGAUUUAAUUUUGAACGAGUGGCGGACGGGUGAGUAACACGUGGGUAACCUGCCCUUAAGUGGGGGAUAACAUUUGGAAACAGAUGCUAAUACCGCAUAAAUCCAAAAACCGCAUGGUUCUUGGCUGAAAGAUGGCGUAAGCUAUCGCUUUUGGAUGGACCCGCGGCGUAUUAGCUAGUUGGUGAGGUAACGGCUCACCAAGGCAAUGAUACGUAGCCGAACUGAGAGGUUGAUCGGCCACAUUGGGACUGAGACACGGCCCAAACUCCUACGGGAGGCAGCAGUAGGGAAUCUUCCACAAUGGACGCAAGUCUGAUGGAGCAACGCCGCGUGAGUGAAGAAGGCUUUCGGGUCGUAAAACUCUGUUGUUGGAGAAGAAUGGUCGGCAGAGUAACUGUUGUCGGCGUGACGGUAUCCAACCAGAAAGCCACGGCUAACUACGUGCCAGCAGCCGCGGUAAUACGUAGGUGGCAAGCGUUAUCCGGAUUUAUUGGGCGUAAAGCGAGCGCAGGCGGUUUAGUAAGUCUGAUGUGAAAGCCCUCGGCUUAACCGAGGAAGUGCAUCGGAAACUGGGAAACUU
rnacentral:rRNA from 1 species